rnacentral:rRNA from 1 species
GAUGAACGCUGGCGGCGUGCUUAACACAUGCAAGUCGAACGGAAAGGCCCAAGCUUGCUUGGGUACUCGAGUGGCGAACGGGUGAGUAACACGUGGGUGAUCUGCCCUGCACUUCGGGAUAAGCCGGGGAAACUGGGUCUAAUACCGGAUAGGACGAUGGUUUGGAUGCCAUUGUGGAAAGUUUUUUCGGUGUGGGAUGAGCUCGCGGCCUAUCAGCUUGUUGGUGGGGUAUUGGCCUACCAAGGCGUCGACGGGUAGCCGGCCUGAGAGGGUGUACGGCCACAUUGGGACUGAGAUACGGCCCAGACUCCUACGGGAGGCAGCAGUGGGGAAUAUUGCACAAUGGGCGCAAGCCUGAUGCAGCGACGCCGCGUGGGGGAUGACGGCCUUCGGGUUGUAAACUCCUUUCGCUAGGGACGAAGCGUUUUUGUGACGGUACCUGGAGAAGAAGCACCGGCUAACUACGUG